GAUGAAGAACGCAGCGAAAUGCGAUACUUGGUGUGAAUUGCAGAAUCCCGUGAACCAUCGAGUCUUUGAACGCAAGUUGCGCCCGAAGCCAUCAGGUUGAGGGCACGUCUGCCUGGGCGUCACAUAUCGUUGCCCAAUGCCUAUUGCAGUGCAAUAGGAAUUUCUAGGGCGAAUGAUGGCUUCCCGUGAGCGUUGUUGCCUCGCGGUUGGUCGAAAAUCGAGUCCUUGGUAGGGUGUGCCAUGGUAGAUGGUGGUCGAGUUAGAACGAUACCGAUCAUGUGCAUGCUCCCCAAAAUAUGGCCUCUAUGACCCACACGCGUCUUUUGACGCUCAUGACGAGACCUCAGGUCAGGCGGGGCUACCCGCUGAAUUUAAGCAUAUCAAUAAGCGGAGGA
rnacentral:misc_RNA from 1 species